CCCACAGUGCAUGUGCAUGUGUGUAUGGCCACAUACAUGUUCCCAUGUGUGCACAUGUGCAUAAACACACAUACAUACACUCACACACACUUCUGGAAGUAGAU
rnacentral:miRNA from 1 species